AUGGCGAGGUUCCGCUCCAGCUUCUACGCGGAUGAUGUCGCGCUCUUCCUCAACCCUGUGCUGAAUGACUUUGUUGCGGUUCAGGCCAUUCUCAAGAUUUUCGCUGAUGCCUCGGGCUUAAAAACAAACAUUCAGAAGUCGGUGGCCUACCCCAUCUCCUGCACGGGCCUUGACUUACUGCCCUUAAUGGCCGCUUUUGGUGGACAGCAAGGGACCCUUCCAUGUCAGUACUUGGGUCUGCCUUUGGGUGUGCGUAAGCCAAAGAGAAUUGAGAUGCAGCCUCUGAUUGAUAAGAUCGCGGGAAAGUUGGCCCCAAGGAAGGGACGGCUGCUCAACAGAAUGGGAAGGUUGAUCUACACCAAUUCGAUGGUGACAGCUACUGCCACAUUCUUUUUGACAUUGUUUCAGCCGGAUAAGUGGCUGAUUAAAAAGGUGGACAAGCUUAGAAAGAAUUUCCUCUGGGAGUCGGAUAACACAUCGAUACGCGGGAAAAGUAUGGUAAACUGGAAGCAAGUUUGCUCUCCAAAGAAAUAUGGAGGAUUGGGCAUAAAAAACAUUGAGUGUUUCAGCCGAGCACUGAGAUUACGCUGGGAAUGGUACAGAUGGGAGGAGAGAGAUAGGCCAUGGAAAGGGACAGAUACGCCAUGUGAUGGUGUUGAUAAGCAGCUCUUCUCCAGUUGCACCACAAUUUCUCUGGGAGACGAAUCUUUGGCAAGUUUUUGGAGGGACAGGUGGUUGAAUGGUGAAGCUCCAAUGGUUUUGGCACCUGCGGUGUUCAAGCUGGCCCGCUUCAAAAAAGUUUCAGUCAAACAAGGAAUGCAUAAUGCUAAAUGGAUGCAGGGGCUUAACCGGAUAAGCAAUGCCGAGGAGUUGUGCUAG
rnacentral:rRNA from 1 species